AGAACAGCAAGAAAUCAAUAGACAUACAUGGACAUUUCAGACACGGUCUCAGAGGACGUUCCAGAUUCAUCGUCAUCUCUGGUUGUGAUUCACUGGCGUGGCUUCAGUCACCCAACAAAACCGGGGCGUCCACUGUGUUCAUGUGUGUGCUUGCAGGAAUACAGACACAGCAAGAAGUGCUUACUUGCUAAGGAAGCAGAAGAAAAUCCAGUCAACCUGGACAACAAAUUGUACAUAAAGCUUUAUGAGGCACCUGAGGAGGCCAGAGUGCUGACUGUAAGAUAUAUCAAGGAGCUGGAUAAGUGCAGUGACUAAGAAACAUGCAAUAUUCUAAGAGUCACACUGAAGGCAUCGAGGGCUAUUUGACUAAGAAGGAGAGUGAUGGGGUGCUGUGCCAGAUGACCUGGCCUCCACAGUCACCGGACCUGAACCCAGUCGAGAUGGUUUAUGGGUGAGCUGGACCGCAGACCGAAGGCAAAAGGGCCAACAAGUGCUAAGCAUCUCUCGGGGAACUCCUUCAAGACUGUUGGAAGACCAUUUCAGGUGACUACCUCUUGAAGCUCAUCAAGAGAAUGCCAAGAGUGUGCAAAGCAGUAAUCAAAGCAAAAGGUGGCUACUUUGAAGAACCUAUAUGACAUAUUUUCAGUUAUUUCACACUUUUUUGUUAUGUAUAUAAUUCCAAACAUUUGGUCUGUACUGUAUAAUUUGUAGGGGUGAUUCUUGAUUACAAAAUCUGUUGGAAACCCCACAUUAAAGAUGUGAGACCAAAAGUAGCAUAGAAUAUCAGAGGAAUUGCAAAACCAAGGCAUGUAUUGAAUGAGAAAGCACUUUAUAUUCUGUACAGUUCACUUGUAUUGCCAUAUUUAAAUUAUUGUGUUGAAGUAUGGGGCAACACCUACUCUACAAAACCACCCUACAAAUACUAAGUACAUAAAAAAGAGCAAUUAGGACAGUAAAUAAAUAAGGAUAUUAUGAGCAUACUAAUUUAUUGUCUUUAAAAUCUCAUACUUUAAAAUGUUAUGAUCUGAUAGAAUUUAAACCUGCACAAACAGUUUAUACAGCAAAAAAUAAAAAGCUGCCUAGAAAUAUACAACAUUAUUCACAGACAGACAGGGGUGUUACAAUUUAAGAGGGGCUCAAAUUGACAGCAAAUUGACAGCAAAAUGCACAAAAAAAGCUCAAAAGGAUUUUUAUUUCGAAAUGUGGGAUGAUAUUGUGGAAUACAGUAAACGGAUAUAUCAAAGAAAGUGUUAAUAUGUUGCAAUUUAAAAGGUAUAAAGAUUUAUUUUUUUCAGAAGUAGGGGGUGAGAGUGAGAAUUUCAACAUUGUUGUUAAUGCUGCUUGAGUUGGUUUCUGUUUUUCUUCUUUAUCUUAAUAGACAGAUAAAUUAGGACUUAAUUUGGAGUAGUAUUUUUGUAUUAUUCAAAAUGGUACGUUUGAUUUAUUAUGGCUGAUUGUGAUUUGAUAUUGGUAACUACUGAGGGUAGGAUUUGUUUUUCAAAC